GUCACAACGGGUAGGGCGCAAUCGCAUGGAUUUCGGGGCUGGACAGGAAACGCGCGCAUCGGUCCGCAGCUCAGAACGGGAAUGGAAGCGGGAGAGGAACGGGAGGCUCGCUCGUCUCAUCAUCAUCAUCAAAUAUAAGCGAUCGGCACGGGAAGCGAAAACUCGAUUGAGGUGGGAGAGGAGCGGGGAUUCUGUCGCUGGAUUUGCGCAACACAACAGUGGCUUUUUCCCAUUGUUACCGUUUCCUUCGGACAAGACAGAAGCCGCAGAACCGUCGGCUGGUUUGCGACAAUUGAUUGCGGACCUUUUCCAUUCAGAAAUCAGCUUGGCACUGCCACAGAACCAAAGGUCUGAGACCUACCGCCUGCCGUACAUUCCAGCGCACGUGUGCACACAGACACACUAUCAUUAACCCCUCGAACCCCACCUGGAGGAAACCUCAGUGCUGCUUCCCUCCAUCCACCCUCUCAGUUAGUGCCUCUUCAUGUCUCGUUUCAGAGGGAGUUGCAGAAGUGUGGUCAUCUCCUCAGAGUGCCUGCUUUAGCUUUUAGGACAGUGGGAGAGGACGUCAAGCCCCACUUCGAGAG
rnacentral:lncRNA from 1 species